AUGCUGUGGGAGUGUCGCGUCGCGCGGUUGCUGGAUGAAACGGCGCCGGACAUUGCUGCGUGUUGUUCCUGUUGGCUGUCACGAUAUGGUGGGCUGUGGGCGGCUCUUCGAUGUACCGUCCGGAUAAAUCUACCAGUUGCUCUAGUGCAGACACUCUACAUCCUACGAACUGCUGGACAAUACAGAGGACUGCUGCAGAAACAAACACGUGACACAGAGCCUUAAGUCCUUGGCACAUGUGGAAACCGAGGAUGACGUUCAAAGCGAAGGGACUGGCACCUCCGCCAGACAGCAGAAUGGCAAACCAAGGGUGUCGUCACCUAUCGUACUGCAAAAACUCAUCAGCCCAUUCUGACGUGUGACGAGCCAUCCGUGCACGUCCACACGGCCGCCAGCGAGGCGGCGCAGAUCAUGGCCGCUCUACGUACGCACUAAGAACCAGAUCCAGCUGACACUGUGAAUACGACUGGGCAAACAACAGACUUGUCCCCGCAUGCGGCACCGGUCCGGCAUGAUGGGGCGGAGGCAGGCGAAGAGAAAUGUCCUUAUGGUGGUGUGGUCUGCGCUGACCAGGAUAUGACCGCGGUAUUGGGCGAUGGCUAUGGUACGUGACCAUUGGUCAUACAUGGGUGAUUGCCGUGGUACGAGCCUGGAUGUGGUUGUAGCAGUUAAAAGCAGCCCUUCCACUCUUCCUGUGCCGGCGGUAGCGGUGUUUAUUGAUGAAAACAUUUUGAUAAAUUGUCCACUAUAAAAGUGCGGCGUACCAGCUAAUGCUCUUGGUCUGUUUAGAUGCUGUGCUCCAGGUUACGCGCUCGGCAGACUGCUUGCGUAGCACCAUUGGCAUAUUCUUUGGCCCUGCUUGGCCCGCAGAGCGGUCUUGAUUACAAAGAGGUGGUACCACAAGAUUGUGCAUGCAUCCUCGCAACUUCUUCGUGUUUCGCAAGCGGGAGAUGCGGAGGAAAUUGAAAUAAAUUACCCAUAUAUAUGCAUU